UACAGAGGUCUCAAGCGUUGUUCGGAUUCAUUGGGCGUAAAGGGUGUGUAGGUGGCGCGCUAAGUCGGGUGUGAAAUUUCGGAGCUUAACUCCGAAACUGCAUUCGAUACUGGCGUGCUUGAGGACUGGAGAGGAGACUGGAAUUCAUGGUGUAGCAGUGAAAUGCGUAGAGAUCAUGAGGAAGACCAGUGGCGAAGGCGGGUCCCUGGACGACACCUGACACUGAGGCACGAAAGCCAAGGGAGCAAACAGG
rnacentral:rRNA from 1 species